rnacentral:rRNA from 1 species
CCUACGGGUGGCAGCAGUGAGGAAUAUUGGUCAAUGGGCUUACGCCUGAACCAGCCAAGUCGCGUGAAGGAAGACUGCCCUAUGGGUUGUAAACCUCUUUUGUCAGGGAGCAAUGGGCGCUACGUGUAGCGUUAUCGAGAGUACUUGAAGAAAAAGCAUCGGCUAACUCCUUGCCCGCAGCGGCGGUACUACGGGGGAUGCGAGCGUUAUCCGGAUUUAUUGGUUUUAAAGGGUGCGUAGGCGGAAGGCCAAGUCAGCGGUAAAGUCGGGGGGCUAAACCUCGAUCCGCCGUUGACACUGGCUUUCUUGAGUGGGCGAGAAGUAUGCGGAAUGCGUGGUGUAGCGGUGAAAUGCAUAGAUAUCACGCAGAACUCCGAUUGCGAAGGCAGCAUACCGGCGCCCAACUGACGCUGAAGCACGAAAGCGUGGGUAUCGAACAGGAUUAGAUACCCUAGUAGUC